UGGGAAGAUAACAUCCAAUGGGAGGACAUGGCAAAAUCAAAGCCUCAUCUCUGAGAGACAUGUCAGUCUUCGUUUGGACCUUGGGGAUGAGUAGGAUAUCUGUAGGUAGAAAGGAGCAUUCAGGGCAAGGAGAAACUCCACAGGCACAGGCAGGAAGGCCAGAUAAUGCGGAACAUUUUUUAAUGGAUAUUUGUAUCUUCAUCUCCUAGUCAUAAGGACUGAAUAAAUCUGUAGAAUAAAUACUUAUAAAAGUACAAGUAGUCUGUAGGGUGAGGCAGGAUAGGGAUUGGAUAACAAUAAUAACCUUUUUUGAGCAUUUUCUAUGUGCUAGGCAUUGUUCUCAGUGCUUUAUUAGUAAUAAUUAUUUCCUUAGAACAGCUUUAUUGAGAAGAUAGUACUAUGAUUCUUUUUUUUACAAAUGAGAUAGAGGUUACAAAUGAAAUAAACCUACUAAGUGGUAGAACUGGGAUUUACACUCUUACUAAUGUGCUCUUAAAGGGAGAAAGGAUGAAAAUGUGGUUUUCUUCUGAAUGCAAUUGACAGGGCAUUACAGGAUUUUGAGAAAGGAGUUAUGAGGUUUUGGAUCUGUGUUGUAAAUAGGUGUAUUUUGGGAUUCAAGAUAAGGAGACCAGUUAGCCUCCAAGUGAGGUUGUCUGUGUCAGUUUAAGAAGUAUGAAGAGGGUCUGAGCUAGGGCAGUAUAUGUGUGGAAAGGAGGGAUUAAUAUGAGAGGCCUUGAGAGGUGGAAAUGAGUUUGUCAGCUGAUUGGUUUUGUGCUGCUGGGCUGGGGAAAGGUGAUGUGGAAGGAGGCUCCGAAUUCUCUGAACGACCUGGGAAGGUACCUGGAUUUACCAAGUUAGGAAGCCUGGAGAAAAGUGGUUCUUCUGUUGUUCCCAGUUCCAGAACUGAGGGAUUCUUCAAAACUUCAUGAUUCUCUCUAUAAUGAGGAUUGUACUUUCCAACAGCUUGGAACUUACAUUGAUUCUAUCAGAGAUCCUGUCCAUAACAGAGUCACCCUAGUAAGUACAAACAUUUGGUAGCUUUCCAAGAAGUGGGCUGGCAUUUCAAAUUUGACAGAAUACAGAAUUUUGUCUGAAAAAUGACAACAAACAUUUCUCAUGAUUUAAAAAAAUCUAUUGUGUCAUUUUUUGGCACUAUUUUACUUUUUACUAUACAGUAAUUCUGCUUGUUUUCUACAGUUUCUGUAUUAUUAAAAACUUCAUGAAAACAAAAGCUUGUUGAGUCAGUUGAAUUGUAUAUUGAUGUGAUUUUUUGUCAUCUCAUUAAAACUA
rnacentral:lncRNA from 10 species